CCUACGGGAGGCAGCAGUGGGGGAUAUUGGACAAUGGGGGGAACCCUGAUCCAGCGACGCCGCGUGAGUGAAGAAGUGUUUCGGUAUGUAAAGCUCUGUCAGCAGGGAAGAAAGAGAUGACGGUACCUGACUAAGCAGCCCCGGCUAACUACGUGCCAGCCGCCGCGGUAAUACGUAGGGGGCAAGCGUUAUCCGGAUUUACUGGGUGUAAAGGGAGCGUAGACGGCGAUGCAAGUCUGAAGUGAAAGGCGGGGGCCCAACCCCCGGACUGCUUUUGAAACUGCAUGGCUGGAGUGCAGGAGAGGUAAGUGGAAUUCCUGGUGUAGCGGUGAAAUGCGUAGAUAUUAGGAGGAACACCAGUGGCGAAGGCGGCUUACUGGACUGCAACUGACGUUGAGGCUCGAAAGCGUGGGGAGCAAACAGGAUUAGAUACCCGUGUAGUC
rnacentral:rRNA from 1 species